CCGUUCUCGAUUCUUUUUUCUCCGCGACAGGAAGAAUUGUUCUUGAUUUUUUUCCUCUCAAGAUUCCGUCAAUCUAAAGGGAUGUUAAGUGGCGUUAAAGUAGUAAUUGGGUCACGAGGGCCUUGGGAACGGAACCGUUCUUGAUUCCCCGAUUCCUUUAUCUAAUGCCAGAACUUUCGACAUUAGCUUUUAUUUUGAGAAGAAAUUGGAUUUUUAGCCUUAAUGACUUCUGUUCUUGAAUUCUGAUCAUGUUCAGAAUAUUCUGUUCGGAAAAUGACAUCUUUUUGUAAUAUUCUGCUAAUCAUCGCAUUAUUUUUUUCAUUUUUUUAAUAUAUCUUGAAUCGCAAGCUCCGUCCAUGCGUCUGAAACUUGUCUCCGCUGCUUGGAAUUAAUAUGUUUUCCGAGUUAGGGAGUACAAUUCAUACCCCAUGUUUCAAUCAGAAGAGCAACAGUAAUUUGAAUUAAAUUCUACUCAUGCGCUCUCGAUCCUUAUCUUUUUCUUUUAUUCUCUCUCUUAAUUUUUAAUGUGGCAUUUAUUUACUUGUGUGUUUUGUCAGAAUGAGGCUGGAAUUAUGUACAAUCUAUGCUCUACAUAACCCCAUUUACUGUAAGGUGGAUCAAGGAAUAUGUUCAUGCCGGUGGUCUGACGGAAGUAAUAGGUUGUGGAUAUUAAAUUUAGUAAUACAUAACACAUGGAUAUCAAAAGUCAUUAACGAGACAUAGUAAAGAAGUAGAAUUGUGGAUUUCGUGACAAAGAUAGUUCUUACUUGUCUUUGAAUAAUCUGCCCGUGAUCCAUGUUCUGUUUGUGGGAAAUUGCAUAUUUUUAAUAUGAUUCCAAGCUCUCUGCUUUUUCUUUUUUCCAGAAAGUAAUUUUCUUUAUUUUUUUUCCUAUAUGGAGCAAUUUUUAGUGUGAUAGUCCUGCUAAAUUAAUGCAAGUGGUUUUGAUGGAAAUUUAUUUAAAAAUGAUUCGGUAUAUGUGAUUCACUAGAUUUAUAUAUAGUCUUCAAAGUUUUUCUUUUUGUCUUUUUUUUUUCCCUUGGUGCAAUGUUACUUCUCUAUCAACUUUUCUUGUCCCUGUCUUUUGCCUUUGCUUUCUUUUCCCCCACUUUGCAUCUUUUGUCUGGUAUAAAGAGAAGCAAUUCGGAUCAGAAUUUUUGUUUUACCAUAGUUUUGAAUUUUCUCAGGGUCUAACUUAGUUAACUAAUUCAGCUCUAUCUACUUUUGGCCUUUUACCCAAAGGAAAAAAAACAAGGUGAAUUGCAACUCAGUAAACAAUAUCAUUUAUUUAUGAUAACCAAAUGAAUAAUGUGGACAGACUGAAACAACUUAACUGAGACAUUAACAACUAGCAUCCUUUGACCCACAAGCUCCCAGCUUAGUAACUUUUCUGUUGCCGGUCCACAUCAUACAGAACAAAUUGGUUAGUAAAAGGUUACAUCUGAGAGUAAUUAGUGGUUUUCUACCAAGUUUCUUAUCCAAAUAAUUGGAAAGAAAAGAAAAGUUUGCUGAAAAGGCAUUCUGUUGUGAGCAUUGUGGUUCUCUCUUGGCUAAUGCUAGUAAUGGUGAUCCUCUCUUGAUAUACUGGCUUGGGUAACCAAGUAUUGGUUGCAACAUGCCCCAUCGCCUGACAUAUGAGCUCAUGUUAAAUACUCAAUGAUGUAAUUAUACAACUGCUUUUGCCUUCACCUUAAUGCUUGUAUGUCACAGGGAGAGUUGCUUGCCAUGUCCUCUGGUUAGUCUCAUUUCUCCAAUUAUCUAUAUCAGAUCUUAUGGUUGAACUUAGUUAAAUGGAAGGAUAAAUGAGUAAGGCAUCAAUUAGACAAUCAUAUGCAUGAUCCAUUUAUUUGUUUCAUUUUCAUCUAAUUGAAAUAAGUGAUUGC
rnacentral:lncRNA from 1 species